rnacentral:rRNA from 1 species
AUUGAACGCUGGCGGCAUGCCUUACACAUGCAAGUCGAACGGUAACGCGGGGCAACCUGGCGACGAGUGGCGAACGGGUGAGUAAUGUAUCGGAACGUGCCCAGUUGUGGGGGAUAACUGCUCGAAAGAGCAGCUAAUACCGCAUACGACCUGAGGGUGAAAGCGGGGGAUCGCCAGACCUCGCGCAAUUGGAGCGGCCGAUAUCAGAUUAGGUAGUUGGUGGGGUAAAGGCCCACCAAGCCAACGAUCUGUAGCUGGUCUGAGAGGACGACCAGCCACACUGGGACUGAGACACGGCCCAGACUCCUACGGGAGGCAGCAGUGGGGAAUUUUGGACAAUGGACGCAAGUCUGAUCCAGCCAUGCCGCGUGCGGGAAGAAGGCCUUCGGGUUGUAAACCGCUUUUGUCAGGGAAGAAACGCUCUGGGUUAAUACCUCGGGGUAAUGACGGUACCUGAAGAAUAAGCACCGGCUAACUACGUGCCAGCCGCCGCGGUAACAC